rnacentral:rRNA from 1 species
UACGAAGGGGGCUAGCGUUGCUCGGAAUCACUGGGCGUAAAGCGCACGUAGGCGGAUCUUUAAGUCAGGGGUGAAAUCCUGGAGCUCAACUCCAGAACUGCCUUUGAUACUGGGGAUCUCGAGUCCGGGAGAGGUGAGUGGAACUCCGAGUGUAGAGGUGAAAAUUCGUAGAUAUUCGGAAGAACACCAGUGGCGAAGGCGCUCACUGGCCCGGUACUGACGCUGAGGUGCGAAAAGCGUGGGGGAGCAAACAG